rnacentral:rRNA from 1 species
UGCAGUCGAGCGGUAGAGAGGUGCUUGCACCUCUUGAGAGCGGCGGACGGGUGAGUAAAGCCUAGGAAUCUGCCUGGUAGUGGGGGAUAACGCUCGGAAACGGACGCUAAUACCGCAUACGUCCUACGGGAGAAAGCAGGGGACCUUCGGGCCUUGCGCUAUCAGAUGAGCCUAGGUCGGAUUAGCUAGUUGGUGAGGUAAUGGCUCACCAAGGCGACGAUCCGUAACUGGUCUGAGAGGAUGAUCAGUCACACUGGAACUGAGACACGGUCCAGACUCCUACGGGAGGCAGCAGUGGGGAAUAUUGGACAAUGGGCGAAAGCCUGAUCCAGCCAUGCCGCGUGUGUGAAGAAGGUCUUCGGAUUGUAAAGCACUUUAAGUUGGGAGGAAGGGCAUUAACCUAAUACGUUAGUGUUUUGACGUUACCGACAGAAUAAGCACCGGCUAACUCUGUGCCAGCAGCCGCGGUAAUACAGAGGGUGCAAGCGUUAAUCGGAAUUACUGGGCGUAAAACGCGCGUAGGUGGUUCGUUAAGUUGGAUGUGAAAUCCCCGGGCUCAACCUGGGAACUGCAUUCAAAACUGUCGAGCUAGAGUAUGGUAGAGGGUGGUGGAAUUUCCUGUGUAGCGGUGAAAUGCGUAGAUAUAGGAAGGAACACCAGUGGCGAAGGCGACCACCUGGACUGAUACUGACACUGAGGUGCGAAAGCG